CACCGCCCGUCACCCUCCUCAACAACAAACAACAACUUUUAUAAACAAAGACUACUUAUACUAGAGGAGGCAAGUCGUAACAUGGUAAGCGCACCGGAAGGUGUGCUUG